UCAAAGGAACUCACACCUAGUUUGAAGCAACAAAGUUUGCAAUCUGAAUUUCUCGCAUACUAAUUUGGUUCCCUUAGACGAUAUUGUCCUAGAUCCAGUGCCUCGGGAAAAAAAUAUCAGCCGAGUUGACAUAACAGUAUACCCAUCCAGCAAUGUUUAUCUUUGAUCCACCCAAAACACUUCGUUUCGCCUUCAGAAAAGCAUCCACGUUGUUGGCGUGGCCAUAUAUUCUAACUUUGUAAAAGGACAACGUUUACCGUCCGUGAACUUUGCUGCAACCUUUUGCCAAUACGAGCAUUGAGAGUGUUGCAGAUGGCAAGCAGCAUGGUCAGCACAAGUGGAAGAACCUGGGCUUCUGCGAGGGAUGAAGGACGGGAAGAUGGGCUGAAUGAAAUCCAAGCAUGGAUCACAGCAAGAGGUUGUUGAAGGGAGUGCAGAACGCUGUAACUGUAACACCUCAAAUGUAAUACCUGAAAUCAAGAUCGCCAGAGCAUCUACAAUGAUUCUGAGCCAGAAUAAUUGGUAACAGAUAGCUACUGAUCAAGAUCAAGAGGGAUAUCCCCAACUAUUGGAACAAAGGUAUCGGCUUCGCAUCUGCAUUAUCCGCACUGCGUAUCAAAUAUAAAUCAGGACAUCCGCGCACCCCAGCAGAGCAGAAACACAGAGACGUUUCAUUAGACUCGGAAACUGAUAUAGUACUUGGAUGAAAAAAUAUCACUGGAUAUGCAAUGUGUGGUGAAAAGGUAUUUCGGGAUGAAAAGAAUAUUAGUCAUAUUGUCAGAAUGAAGGAGAGUCCAGUAAAGGUGGUUUAUACUUACUAGGAGAUUAGCAAUCUAUAAUAUUUGUUUGAAAAUUCACAGCAAAUACAAUGAUUCCUGUAAUGGAGACAUCUCCAUUUUGAUAUCUGUUUGAGGAAUUUACAGUUUAUUCUCAUGAAAACAUUUUAGAAACACUUACCGUUUGUG